CCUACGGGUGGCAGCAGUGAGGAAUAUUGGUCAAUGGGCGUAAGCCUGAACCAGCCAAGUCGCGUGAGGGAUGAAGGUUCUAUGGAUCGUAAACCUCUUUUAUAAGGGAAUAAAGUGCGGGACGUGUCCCGUUUUGUAUGUACUUUAUGAAUAAGGAUCGGCUAACUCCGUGCCAGCAGCCGCGGUAAUACGGAGGAUCCGAGCGUUAUCCGGAUUUAUUGGGUUUAAAGGGUGCGUAGGUGGGCUGUUAAGUCAGCUGUGAAAGUUUGGGGCUCAACCAUAAAAUUGCCGUUGAAACUGGGAGGCUUGAGUAUAGUUGAGGUAGGCGGAAUGCGUGGUGUAGCGGUGAAAUGCUUAGAUAUCACGCAGAACCCCGAUUGCGAAGGCAGCCUACUAAGCCAUGACUGACACUGAUGCACGAAAGUGUGGGGAUCAAACAGGAUUAGAUACCCUAGUAGUC
rnacentral:rRNA from 1 species